rnacentral:rRNA from 1 species
CACGUAGGGGGCAAGCGUUGUCCGGAUUCAUUGGGCGUAAAGAGCUCGUAGGCGGUUCGAUAAGUCGGGUGUGAAACCUCCAGGCUCAACCUGGAGACGCCACCCGAUACUGUCGUGACUAGAGUCCAGUAGGGGAGCGUGGAAUUCCUGGUGUAGCGGUGAAAUGCGCAGAUAUCAGGAGGAACACCAGCGGCGAAGGCGGCGCUCUGGGCUGGCACUGACGCUGAGGAGCGAAAGCGUGGGGAGCAAACGGG